rnacentral:rRNA from 1 species
ACCAGCGGAGGGAUCAUUACCGAGUUUACAACUCCCAAACCCAAUGUGAACGUUACCAAACUGUUGCCUCGGCGGGAUCUCUGCCCCGGGUGCGUCGCAGCCCCGGACCAAGGCGCCCGCCGGAGGACCAACCAAAACUCUUAUUGUAUACCCCCUCGCGGGUUUUUUUUAUAAUCUGAGCCUUCUCGGCGCCUCUCGUAGGCGUUUCGAAAAUGAAUCAAAACUUUCAACAACGGAUCUCUUGGUUCUGGCAUCGAUGAAGAACGCAGCGAAAUGCGAUAAGUAAUGUGAAUUGCAGAAUUCAGUGAAUCAUCGAAUCUUUGAACGCACAUUGCGCCCGCCAGUAUUCUGGCGGGCAUGCCUGUCCGAGCGUCAUUUCAACCCUCGAACCCCUCCGGGGGGUCGGCGUUGGGGAUCGGCCCUGCCUUGGCGGUGGCCGUCUCCGAAAUACAGUGGCGGUCUCGCCGCAGCCUCUCCUGCGCAGUAGUUUGCACACUCGCAUCGGGAGCGCGGCGCGUCCACAGCCGUUAAACACCCAACUUCUGAAAUGUUGACCUCGGAUCAGGUAGGAAUACCCGCUGAACUUAAGCAUAUCAAUAAAGCG